rnacentral:rRNA from 1 species
CCUACGGGAGGCAGCAGUGGGGAAUAUUGCACAAUGGGGGAAACCCUGAUGCAGCGACGCCGCGUGGGUGAAGAAGGGCCUCGGCGCGUAAAGCCCUUUCAGCAGGGAAGAAAAUGCCGGGACCUGAAGAAGAAGCCCCGGCUCAAUAAGUGCCCGCAGCCGCAGUUAUACGUAGGGGGCAAGCGUUAUCCGGAGUUGAUGGGUGUAAAGGGGGCUCAGUGGGGGCUGCAAGGCAGGAGGGAAAGCGCGGGGCCCAAACCCCGGCGAGCGGUUGAAACUGGGUGGCUCGAGUGGAGGAGGGGUACGCGGAAUUCGUGGUGUAGCGGUGAAAUGCGUAGAUAUCGGGCAGAACCCCGAUGGCGAAGGCAGCGUGCUGG